rnacentral:rRNA from 1 species
UGGGGAAUAUUGCACAAUGGGCGCCCAUGGAUGCGCCAUGCCGCGUGUAUGAAGAAGGCCUUCGGGUUGUAAAGUACUUUCAGCGGGGAGGAAGGGAGUAAAGUUAAUACCUUUGCUCAUUGACGUUACCCGCAGAAGAAGCACCGGCUAACUCCGUG